rnacentral:rRNA from 1 species
CCAGACUCCUACGGGAGGCAGCAGUGGGGAAUAUUGCACAAUGGGGGGAACCCUGAUCCAGCGACGCCGCGUGAGUGAAGAAGUAUUUCGGUAUGUAAAGCUCUAUCAGCAGGGAAGAAAGAAAUGACGGUACCUGACUAAGAAGCCCCGGCUAACUACGUGCCAGCAGCCGCGGAAAUACGUAGGGGGCAAGCGUUAUCCGGAUUUACUGGGGGUAAAGGGAGCGCAGACGGCUUGGAAAGCCAGAUGUGAAAGGCUGGGGCUCAACCCCAGGACUGCAUUUGGAACUGGCAUGCUAGAGUGCCGGAGAGGCAGGCGGAAUUCCUAGUGUAGCGGUGAAAUGCGUAGAUAUUAGGAGGAACACCAGUGGCGAAGGCGGCCUGCUGGACGAUGACUGACGUUGAGGCUCGAAAGCGUGGGGAGCAAACAGGAUUAGAUACCCCCGUA